UACAGAGGUCCCAAGCGUUGUUCGGAUUCACUGGGCGUAAAGGGUGCGUAGGCGGUCGGGUAAGUCUGAUGUGAAAUCUCACAGCCUAACUGUGAAACUGCAUUGGAUACUAUCCGGCUCGAGGAAUGGAGGGGAGACUGGAAUACUUGGUGUAGCAGUGAAAUGCGUAGAUAUCAAGUGGAACACCAGUGGCGAAGGCGAGUCUCUGGACAUUUCCUGACGCUGAGGCACGAAAGCCAGGGGAGCAAACGGG
rnacentral:rRNA from 1 species